AAAAAAAGCCAUCAGAGAAUAGCCCCGGCUUCUCUGCUCGUCACCCAGUCGAACAUGAGAUCUAUCCGCUGCCUUCGACACCAUGAACUAUCACAUCCUCCUCUCCACCCUGCGUCGCAGGCUCUGCACACUCUUGGAUUGCAUCCUACCUGCCAGGCUGCUUCUACCAGAUGUGGUAUGCAGUGCACUCCUCCCUCAUCAUGGCUCUACAGUAUUCCCUCUCCCAGUCAGAACAACCCAGGCGGCCUCUACUCCUCUUAUCAGAUGGAGUCAGGCAGGCAGGAUGGGACGGGGACAGUGUGGAUCCAGCUGCUCCCAGGAGCAGGGUGCAGGCCCACGUAAUAGGUCUGCUGGCAUCCCAGGCCUCGCCCCACUGGCAUCCCAGUCACAGCCAGGCAGGCUGCUCCAUGGGUGGCACACCUUGGAAACAGGCGGCAGAGACAGAGGAGGUGGACACGGGGGAGACAGCCUCUUCAUGUUCCUGCAUGUUCCCACCCUCCACCCCUUCCUCUCUACAUGAUCCUGCAGGUGAAGGGAACCUUCAACGCCGGGUGACUCUAGGUACCAUGAUGACACUGCUUGUCACGACUCCUACUGAAGGUGGCUCCUCU
rnacentral:lncRNA from 1 species